GGCAUGAUGAACUGUAAACAGGUUUAAUGAAAUCCUGUAAUGUGACACAACAGGUAAUGAAGAGGAGUCAUAUACCGGAGUACCACGGACAGCUCCCGCAUCAUGACAGUCACAGGAUCAGCACCUUGUAACACAAAAGAUUGUGGCAGAACACGGCCCACUAUUUACUCUGUUGGUUCAGGAUUUGGAUUGCCGCCUGUUGGCUUGCAUCGGUGCCCUCCUGUUUGUUUUCUACACACGAGAAGAUGAGUCAACUGAUUGGCAGUCAGACGGCAUGCUAGAUGGAAGCGCUAAACCUUGGCCUGGGCUAGCUGCUCAUUUAUUCACAGAAAGAGCAAAGAAGAGAAUAUUCCAAUGAGAACAGGUCAACAGAAAAGUCACAGAGAUUGUCCUUGUGCCCGGCCUUCUCUCGAGGAAACGCUUCAGUGAAUCUCAAAGAAUUCAUCCAUGCGAGACCCAACACAUAAACAGUCACCUUGUCAUUCACCUUGUCAAUCAGUCAGUAUGUCGGCAAGUCCACAAUCCAGCCAACCAAUGACUGAUUCCCAUCGUCUAGUCGUCAAACUCAGCAAGUGUUUCAUCCACAUACUGAUGCUCGGUGGUGUUAAAAGUCAAGACCUCCUUCUUCUACCUCAACUUCCCAUCAAAGACCUCUACAUGGAUUGGUCCAAAUAUGUUCUUAUUUCUCUCUAUUGUUACGGCAACACUGUCUCCUGAUAGGUUGUAUUGCAUAGCUGUUCCGCAAGAGAGGGGGCCUUCCUGCCUGAUUGGCUACGGCAGGGACUUUUAGAUUCUUCGUUGGAGUUUGGACGAGAGACAAUUGAUGG